CUAUAUUAUUGCAUGUUGUAG
rnacentral:siRNA from 1 species